rnacentral:rRNA from 1 species
GAUGAACGCUGGCGGCGUGCCUAAUACAUACAAGUCGAGCGAACGGACGAGAAGCUUGCUUCUCUGAUGUUAGCGGCGGACGGGUGAGUAACACGUGGAUAACCUACCUAUAAGACUGGGAUAACUUCGGGAAACCGUAGCUAAUACCGGAUAAUAUUUUGAACCGCAUGGUUCAAAAGUGAAAGACGGUCUUGCUGUCACUUAUAGAUGGAUCCGCGCUGCAUUAGCUAGUUGGUAAGGUAACGGCUUACCAAGGCAACGAUGCAUAGCCGACCUGAGAGGGUGAUCGGCCACACUGGAACUGAGACACGGUCCAGACUCCUACGGGAGGCAGCAGUAGGGAAUCUUCCGCAAUGGGCGAAAGCCUGACGGAGCAACGACGCGUGAGUGAUGAAGGUCUUCGGAUCGUAAAACGCUGUUAUUAGGGAAGAACAUAUGUGUAAGUAACUGUGCACAUCUUGACGGUACCUAAUCAGAAAGCCACGGCUAACUACGU